rnacentral:tRNA from 1 species
GCGUCUGUAGCCUAGUCAGUAAAGGCAGCACUCUCGCUGCUGAGGUGGUGAGUUCGAAUCUCACCAGACACA